rnacentral:rRNA from 1 species
AUUGAACGCUGGCGGCAUGCUUUACACAUGCAGUCGAACGGUAACAGGGAGCUUGCUCCGCUGACGAGUGGCGAACGGGUGAGUAAUGCGUCGGAACGUGCCGAGUAGUGGGGGAUAACGCAGCGAAAGUUGUGCUAAUACCGCAUACGUACUGAGGUAGAAAGUGGGGGACCUUCGGGCCUCACGCUAUUCGAGCGGCCGACGUCUGAUUAGCUAGUAGGUGAGGUAAAGGCCCACCUAGGCGACGAUCAGUAGCGGGUCUGAGAGGAUGAUCCGCCACACUGGGACUGAGACACGGCCCAGACUCCUACGGGAGGCAGCAGUGGGGAAUUUUGGACAAUGGGCGAAAGCCUGAUCCAGCCAUGCCGCGUGUCUGAAGAAGGCCUUCGGGUUGUAAAGGACUUUUGUCGGGGAGGAAAUCCCCAGCGCUAAUACCGCUGGGGGAUGACAGUACCUGAAGAAUAAGCACCGGCUAACUACGUGCCAGCCGCCGCCGUAAAAC